GAAAUUAUAAUCCGGCGAGGGAAAGGCGGGGAGUUGUAGCUGGCCCUAGGGCAUGUGCACGCUCUCUUCUGGACUUUCGCCGUAUGGGCGCGGGGCGACCCGCGUCUUCAUAUACCUCUUCGUGUAGAAAGUCUUUGAAUGUUAUCAUCAUCAUCGAGUCGCGACUUCUAGGAGACGCGAUUCUUUGAGACAAAAGUUAUUACAACUUUCAGCAACGGAUCUCUUGGCUCU
rnacentral:misc_RNA from 1 species